GUACGGGAGGCAGCAGUGAGGAAUAUUGGUCAAUGGGCGCAAGCCUGAACCAGCCAUCCCGCGUGAAGGAAGAAGGCGCUAUGCGUUGUAAACUUCUUUUUCAGGGGAAGAAAAUCUUCUACGUGUAGAGGAUUGACGGUACCCUGUGAAUAAGCAUCGGCUAACUCCGUGCCAGCAGCCGCGGUAAUACGGAGGAUGCGAGCGUUAUCCGGAUUUAUUGGGUUUAAAGGGUGCGUAGGCGGAUUAAUAAGUCAGUGGUGAAAACCUGCAGCUUAACUGUAGAACUGCCAUUGAUACUGUUAGUCUUGAGUACGGUCAAGGUAGGCGGAAUGUGUAAUGUAGCGGUGAAAUGCUUAGAUAUUACACAGAACACCGAUUGCGAAGGCAGCUUACUGGGCCAUUACUGACGCUGAGGCACGAAAGCGUGGGGAGCGAACAGGAUUAGAUACCCCGGUAGA
rnacentral:rRNA from 1 species